ACCCAGAACUAGGACACAUGGACCAUGAAUAAGGAAACAUGGUCUAUGGAAAUGUUAGGCUCAGACUCUCCAAUGAGACCAGCUACAACAACAGAAAAACACAGCAGGAUCUAAUCCUUUUAGCCAAGAUCAAAAAUCUGAGGCUGUCAUGGGCACAGGAUCACAGAAACCCGGUAGUUGAAGAUAAAAAAAAAAAUCUCCUGGUCUGUUUCCAGUCUGUCCAAUAUGGGUAUGUCUGUGUCAAUGAUAGCCUCUUAUUCCUGUUUGUGACUGACAUGAAUGGAAGCUGAUGUCUUUUGCUGUUGCAGCUCCUCCACCUCAAGAGCUCGAUGGAUGUCUUGUGCUGCUCUCUCCAUCAGCGCGGUGCGAAUAGCCGAACGAGGGAUGGACACUCGCUCUGAAACAGAGGACAGAGGAGGACUCAGACGCUCUGCCGCCACGGAGGACAGUGGACACAGCUCCCGGCACAGAGACACCAUCGAGUCCACGAUCACCUGUCAAUCAAUCAAUCAAUCAAAACAAACAAACAAGCAAUUCAUUAAUCAAUCAAGUCUAUAAAUCAGUCCAUCCAGGAUCAGAGAUGUUUUUGUGAUCAUUGUGCGCAAAAAUGUUUGAUUUGCCUGCGUCUUGUUUUGAGAAACUAGUCAAACUGGUGAAAUUAUAAGCCCAGGAUUCUCCAGGACACAUCAGUAAUAACCGUCUAUCAGAGCUUUACUCACGUUCCAUGCACUUAAAGUCAAAAGACUUUGGAAAAUAAACCAAACCAGUUCUGCCCAAAAGCACCACAAGCACAUGGACUAUGUUAUUUUGGUAUGUGGGACCAAGAGCAACAACGGCAGCUGUGGCAACCCUCUAUUCCUUUCCUCCCUCUUCACCCCAUGUUCAUUUUGCCUUCCCGGUUUCCUAGCAACACAAAAGCGUGUGCUUUCUGUCACAACAAAUAAAUGAAUAAAUAAAUAAACAUCUCUUCUUACCA